rnacentral:rRNA from 1 species
GGGGAAUAUUGGACAAUGGGCGAAAGCCUGAUCCAGCCAUGCCGCGUGAGUGAUGAAGGCCUUAGGGUUGUAAAGCUCUUUUGUCCGGGAAGAUAAUGACUGUACCGGAAGAAUAAGCCCCGGCUAACUUCGUGCCAGCAGCCGCGGUAAUACGAAGGGGGCUAGCGUUGCUCGGAAUCACUGGGCGUAAAGGGCGCGUAGGCGGACUUUUAAGUCGGAGGUGAAAGCCCAGGGCUCAACCCUGGAAUUGCCUUCGAUACUGGGAGUCUUGAGUUCGGAAGAGGUUGGUGGAACUGCGAGUGUAGAGGUGAAAUUCGUAGAUAUUCGGAAGAACACCAGUGGCGAAGGCGACUAACUGGACAUGUAUUGACGCUGAGGUGCGAAAGCGUGGGGAGCAAAC